UACCCAGACUCCUACGGGAGGCAGCAGUGGGGAAUAUUGCACAAUGGGGGAAACCCUGAUGCAGCGACGCCGCGUGAGCGAUGAAGUAUUUCGGUAUGUAAAUCUCUAUCAGCAGGGAAGAAAAUGACGGUACCUGACUAAGAAGCCCCGGCUAACUACGUGCCAGCAGCCGCGGUAAUACGUAGGGGGCAAGCGUUAUCCGGAUUUACUGGGUGUAAAGGGAGCGUAGACGGCAAUGCAAGCCAGAUGUGAAAGCCCGGGGCUCAACCCCGGGACUGCAUUUGGAACUGUGUAGCUGGAGUGUCGGAGAGGCAGGCGGAAUUCCUGGUGUAGCGGUGAAAUGCGUAGAUAUCAGGAGGAACACCGGUGGCGAAGGCGGCCUGCUGGACUGCAACUGACGUUGAGGCCCGAAAGCGUGGGGAGCAAACAGGAUUAGAUACCCGCGUACG
rnacentral:rRNA from 1 species